AAGUCGUAACAAGGUUUCCGUAGGUGAACCUGCGGAAGGAUCAUUAGUGAAUAUUAGGACGUUCAAUUUAACUUGAAGUCCGAACUCUCACUUUCUAACCCUGUGCAUUUGUUUUGGCUAGUAGGAUAUUUCGGUAUCCGAACACCUCUUCAUUUACAAACACUAAGUCUAUGAAUGUUUAAAUUUUAUAACAAAAUAAAACUUUCAACAACGGAUCUCUUGGCUCUCGCAUCGAUGAAGAACGCAGCGAAAUGUGAUAAGUAAUGUGAAUUGCAGAAUUCAGUGAAUCAUCGAAUCUUUGAACGCAUCUUGCACUCUCUGGUAUUCCGGAGAGUAUGCCUGUUUGAGUGUCAUGAAUUCUUCAACCCUCCCUUUUCUUAGUGAAUUGAGAGGUGUUUGGAUUCUGAGUGUUGCUCCUAACCCGAGCUCAUUCGUAAUGCAUUAGCAUCCAUAUUCGAAUUUCGGAUUGACUUGGCGUAAUAGACUAUUCGCUGAGGAAUCUAACUUCGGUUAGAGCCGUGUUUGAACUAGGAAGCUACUAAUCUAGCUUAGUCUACCUUUAGAUUAGACCUCAAAUCAGGCAGGAUUACCCGCUGAACUUAA
rnacentral:rRNA from 1 species